GCCUACGGGGCGCAGCAGUGAGGAAUAUUGGUCAAUGGUCGGGAGACUGAACCAGCCAAGCCGCGUGAGGGAUGAAGGUACAGAGUAUCGUAAACCUCUUUUGUCAGGGAACAAAGGCGGGGACGUGUCCCCGGAUGAGUGUACCUGAAGAAAAAGCAUCGGCUAACUCCGUGCCAGCAGCCGCGGUAAUACGGAGGAUGCGAGCGUUAUCCGGAUUUAUUGGGUUUAAAGGGUGCGCAGGCGGCGAGUUAAGUCAGCGGUAAAAUUUCGGGGCUCAACCCCGACGAGCCGUUGAAACUGGCUUG
rnacentral:rRNA from 1 species